rnacentral:rRNA from 1 species
UACGUAGGGUGCGAGCGUUGUCCGGAAUUACUGGGCGUAAAGAGCUCGUAGGUGGUUUGUCGCGUUGUUCGUGAAAACCGGGGGCUUAACCCUCGGCGUGCGGGCGAUACGGGCAGACUGGAGUACUGCAGGGGAGACUGGAAUUCCUGGUGUAGCGGUGGAAUGCGUAGAGAUCCGGAAGAACACCGGUGGCGAAGGCGGUCUGCUGGGGUCGAACUGACGCUGAGGCGCGACAGCGUGGGGAGCAAACAGG